UCUAUGGAGAGUUUGAUCCUGGCUCAGGACGAACGCUGGCGGCGUGCCUAAUACAUGCAAGUCGAGCGGACGAAUCAAAAGCUUGCUUUUGAU
rnacentral:rRNA from 1 species